rnacentral:rRNA from 1 species
AGAGUUUGAUCAUGGCUCAGGACGAACGCUGGCGGCGUGCCUAACACAUGCAAGUCGAGCGGAGGUAGGUGAGCUUAGCUCAACUACCUUAGCGGCGGACGGGUGAGUAACACGUGAGCAACCUGCCUUUAAGACCGGGAUAACACUUCGAAAGAGGUGCUAAUACCGGAUAACAUUUAUACACCGCAUGGUGUAUAAAGAAAGGGUUAAACCCGCUUAAAGAGGGGCUCGCGGCCCAUCAGCUAGUUGGUGAGGGUAACGGCCCACCAAGGCGACGACGGGUAGCCGGCCUGAGAGGGUGUACGGCCACACUGGGACUGAGACACGGCCCAGACUCCUACGGGAGGCAGCAGUGGGGAAUCUUGCGCAAUGGGGGGAACCCUGACGCAGCGACGCCGCGUGAGCGAAGAAGGCCUUCGGGUUGUAAAGCUCUGUUCUGUGGGGAGAUGACGGUACCACAGGAGAAAGCCCCGGCCAACUACGUGCCAGCAGCCGCGGUAAUACGUAGGGGGCAAGCGUUGUCCGGAGUGACUGGGCGUAAAGGGCGCGUAGGCGGUCUUAGAAGUCAGAUGUAAAAGGUACCGGCUCAACCGGUAAAUAGCAUCUGAUACCAUAAGACUAGAGUACAGGAGAGGGGAGCGGAAUUCCUGGUGUAGCGGUGAAAUGCGUAGAGAUCAGGAAGAACACCGGUGGCGAAGGCGGCUCUCUGGCCUGGGACUGACGCUGAGGCGCGAAAGCGUGGGGAGCGAACAGGAUUAGAUACCCUGGUAGUCCACGCUGUAAACGAUGGAUACUAGGUGUGGGUGAGUAAAAUCGUCCGUGCCGGAGCAAACGCAAUAAGUAUCCCGCCUGGGGAGUACGGCGCAAGGUUGAAACUCAAAUGAAUUGACGG